rnacentral:rRNA from 1 species
UACGAAGGGGGCUAGCGUUGCUCGGAUUGACUGGGCGUAAAGGGCGCGUAGGCGGCUCGGCACGUCCGUUGUGAAAUCGCCCGGCUCAACUGGGCGGGGUCAGCGGAUACGGCCGAGCUGGAGCAAGCUAGGGGGUAAUGGAAUUCCCGGUGUAGUGGUGGAAUGCGUAGAUAUCGGGAGGAACACCAGUGGCGAAGGCGGUUACCUGGAGCUUUGCUGACGCUGAUGCGCGAAAGCGUGGGGAGCGAGUCCG